AUUGUAGUCAUAUGCUUGUCUCAAAGAUUAAGCCAUGCAUGUCUAAGUACAAACUUUUACACAGUGAAACUGCGAAUGGCUCAUUAGAUCAGUUAUGGUUCCUUAGAUCGUACAAUCCUACUUGGAUAACUGUGGUAAUUCUAGAGCUAAUACAUGCGUAUAAGCCCCGACUUCUGGAAGGGGUGUAUUUAUUAGAUAAAAAUCAACACUGUUGGUGAAUCAUGAUAACUUCUCGGAUCGCAUGGCCUUGUGCUGGCGAUACUUCAUUCAAAUAUCUGCCCUAUCAACUUUCGAUGGUAGUAUAGAGGACUACCAUGGUUGCAACGGGUAACGGGGAAUAAU
rnacentral:rRNA from 1 species